CAGAUUCGGACUGAAGUUUCGCCCAGUUGUUAAAGAUUUAUACGGGAGGUUUAACAAUCCCCUGUCAUUAAGCCUUGGCACAAGCAGUGCAAAGGACGUUCAGGGCAUAGUUGUACUAACUUAUCUGGUAAAGAGAAAGCUGUUCCUUUAAACUGUGUUUGCUGUGACUCUGGAAACUGAGCAAACAAAAUCUGAGGCACACUUUACUCUCAAGCAGAACUGACAGGAAGGUACAAGGACUGAAGGACAGUGAACUUCUGUAAGACAUACCUGCCUCUGGAUUCAUAACUGAAUUGCAAAUCCCUAACAAUUUGCGGGAGUUUAAUUCAGACUUCAUGGAGAUACCUCAUCCCGAUGGCAAAUGAGAUACUGCCUCAGCCACUGAGUGUCAGACUGCUACUUUGGUCUCCAUGAGCUCCAGGGAAGUGUUUGCCUGCAAAGCACAUUCAGCUCUAAUUCAGAUAAAGCUGAUGGAGUUUUGGAAGCUACCUGUCUUCUGCUGCUCUGCUGCUGAUCCAUUGUCUCAGUUGCCAUAGAGACAAGUUCUGGAAGCCAUGGAUGAGCCUGGGAGAGAAGCCACCCACAGGCUCUCCACUGGUGGGCUCUGGCAGGGCCAUUCUCAGCACGUGCUGAGAGAGUCAGGUUCGGUCUCUGAAAGUGAGGAAGAGUCAGCAGGUGCUAACCCAGUGACGCACGAGGGGGAGUUGCACACACAGUACAUUGCUAUUCAAAGAAAUUCCAGGUACUACCGAUCCAUGAGGCUUCCAAAAAGAGGGAAAAGAAAGACUUCAAGAGAGACAAUUCACGUGCAGCAUGCUACAGGUUCACUCAAAAACUAUGAGCCCAUCAAAGAGCCUCUGAAUGUUUUAUCGGAUACGGGUUCACCAUCUCCAGCAAACUGUGAUCCAACAACAUUAGAUGAAUUAUUGAUCCAAAGGUAAGGAGGUUCCCACGCAGGGUAUUCCCCAUGCCUUCCCUGAAAACUAGUUAGUGGUGUCACAGCGAGAAUACUUCUUUUGGGAAGAACAGCUGGACUAAGCUGUAGCUCUGAUCCAUGCCUUCUCACCUUGACUUGUGGCGCUGCUUUCAGUCUUAAUGACUUAUACAGCAGAGUAUUAGCAUGGUGGGAAAAGGGCCUUAUCAGUGUGGGUUUGGGGAAGACAGUGAAGGAAAAAGGGGGAACAAGAAGACAGUGGGGAAGAUGGAAAAAAGAGGAAUGUGAUGCAGGAUCACCCAGCAGUGUUGGCAAACUGGGCAGACUGCACUAAGCGGUUUCUUGAGAAUAAGGGAGCCUGUGAGCAUUUUGUUAUGGAACAUCCCAGCAUCAGGGUAAUCCCAUUCCUGGCCUUCACAGAGAGCUCUUCUGAAGCCUGUUACACAAUCCUGCACGGAAAACAGGAUUUUAUAGCUGAAGAAGUAGCUACAAAUAUUUUUUCUAAAAUAUCCAGACUUUUUGUUUGCUUUUUACUUUAAAGAGCUGAUAAGCAACAGAGACUUUCAGUGAGGUAGUCCUUUUUGGCCUACAUCCCUCAACAACAAAGGUCUAGCAGAAGACCCUGGUCCCAUAUCUCAGAAAUGUACAUACAUCCCAUAAAUCUGCCCUCACUCCUGCUCUCUUGCCACUGCCGCCAGGCAGAGAAAGGAGCAGCUACCUAUCCCUACAUUUUCAAAUCUAACUGAGGUUUUCUCCCAAACUCGUUCUCCAACUACUCACCUCCUGUGUGUACAGCUAUGAGAUAGUCCCUCCUUCUAUCGUAGAUCAAGCUGGAAGCAGUAAGCACUUGUCCUCUAAGGGUGCAUGCAUCCUGCUGCACCAUCUGGUCCUAAUUACUGAGACCAGCUGUGUUGGGGUAAUACAAUGUGCUUUCCCAGGCACCUUUCCUUGUGGAGAGGACUCCAACAGAACAAUUUUAUCCAAAUGUCAAGUUUGAUUUAAAUAAAUUAAUUGCCUUGGCCAAAAUUGAUUGCCCCUUGGCCGUAAACUGAGCAUAUGAAACUAGACAGCCACAGUCUGCUGCAAUGUCAAACCUAUCUGUCUUCGUUUCCUUGGGGCAUAAUCAUCACUGUCAGUCUGGCAUCCUGACACUGGCACUUAGGCAGCUCUGAAAUGUGCAAUUUCUGAUUCUCCCUGGAGCUGGAAACAAUGAGCCUGUGCUAGGAGUUGCUUGUAUCAAAGACACUGCUGUGCACAGAGCCUGGCAGGUCAGUACAGGUUCGAAGCCAUGUGUCUGCUAAAAGUAGGCAGUCCUGCUGAGUGGCAUCACUGGAAAUUGAGCAUGGAGAUUUAACAGAGAAUGAGACCAUAGUUCCAGCUCAAAUUCCACCCAUGUCCUCUUUCCUUCUCCAAAAGAUCAGUUGUAAUUUAUAAGAGAACCACUAGAAAACUGCAUUGGGAAAGCAUGCAAUAGCCUAAAAAAUGUCAUUAUUUGUAGUAAUCAAUAGUAUCUCACUUCUAUUUGGAAAAAAUGGCCAUUAUGCAGAUAAUACAUUUAAAAUAUUGUUGGUCUCAAGAAAUACAUUUAAUUUCACCUCAAAAGAAUACAUCUGGUGCCUGUCAGCUAACCAUUC